UACAGAGGUCCCAAGCGUUGCCCGGAUUUAUUGGGCGUAAAGGGCGCGUAGGCGGUCACGCACGUCCGUUGUGAAAUCGCUCGGCUCAACUGGGCGGGGUCAGCGGAUACGGCGUGGCUGGAGCAAGCUAGGGGGCAAUGGAAUUCCCGGUGUAGUGGUGGAAUGCGUAGAUAUCGGGAGGAACACCAGUGGCGAAGGCGGCAGCCUGGUUCGUACCUGACGCUCGGACACGACAGCAUGGGGAGCGAACGGG
rnacentral:rRNA from 1 species